rnacentral:rRNA from 1 species
AUUGACGCUGCGGCAUGCUUUACACAUGCAAGUGGACGGCAGCACAGAGAAGCUUGCUUCUUGGGUGGCGAGUGGCGAACGGGUGAGUAAUAUAUCGGAACGUACCGAGUAAUGGGGGAUAACUAAUCGAAAGAUUAGCUAAUCCGCAUAUUCUCUGAGGAGGAAAGCAGGGGACCUUCGGGCCUUGCGUUAUUCGAGCGGCCGAUAUCUGAUUAGCUAGUUGGUGGGGUAAAGGCCUACCAAGGCGACGAUCAGUAGCGGGUCUGAGAGGAUGAUCCGCCACACUGGGACUGAGACACGGCCCAGACUCCUACGGGAGGCAGCAGUGGGGAAUUUUGGACAAUGGGCGCAAGCCUGAUCCAGCCAUGCCGCGUGUCUGAAGAAGGCCUUCGGGUUGUAAAGGACUUUUGUCAGGGAAGAAAAGGCUGUUGCUAAUACCGACAGCUGAUGACGGUACAAGAAUAAGCACGGUA